UGGGGAAUUUUGGACAAUGGGCGAAAGCCUGAUCCAGCAAUGCCGCGUGUGUGAAGAAGGCCUUCGGGUUGUAAAGCACUUUUGUCCGGAAAGAAAUCCUUGGCUCUAAUACAGUCGGGGGAUGACGGUACCGGAAGAAUAAGCACCGGCUAACUACGUGCCAGCAGCCGCGGUAAUACGUAGGGUGCAAGCGUUAAUCGGAAUUACUGGGCGUAAAGCGUGCGCAGGCGGUUUGCUAAGACCGAUGUGAAAUCCCCGGGCUCAACCUGGGAACUGCAUUGGGUGACUGGCAGGCUAGAGUAUGGCAGAGGGGGGUUAGAAUUCCACGUGUAGCAGUGAAAUGCGUAGAGAUGUGGAGGAAUACCGAUGGCGAAGGCAGCCCCCUGGGCCAAUACUGACGCUCAUGCACGAAAAGGCGUGGGGAGCAAACAGGAUUAGAUACCCUGGUAGUCCACGCCCUAAACGAUGUCAACUAGUUGUUGGGGAUUCAUUUCCUUAGUAACGUAGCUAACGCGUGAAGUUGACCGCCUGGGGAGUACGGUCGCAAGAUUAAAAGCUCAAAUGGAAUUGACGGGGUCAUAGCUGUUU
rnacentral:rRNA from 1 species